rnacentral:lncRNA from 1 species
ACUUCUGGCCUGCACAACUAUGAAAAAAAUUGCUAUUGUUUUUGUUUUUGUUUUGUUGAGCCCAAGUCUCAUUGCCCACACUGGUCUCAAACUCUUCAUGAAGUCAAACUCCCAAGUGCUGAGAUUAAAGCACUCGGGAGGCAGAGGCAGGUGGAUCUCUGUGAGUUCAAGGUCAGCCUGGUCUACAAAUCGAGUUCCAGGACAGCCAGCAUCUCUACCCACUGAGGCAUUUUGGUGCAGUGAUUACAAAUAUGUAACAUCAUGGCCAGCUUUACAUGGGCUCUGAGGAUCUAAACUCCGGUCCUCAAAUGUGAGCAGCAUUUGCUUUACCCAUCGAACCCUCUCCUCAGCCCUGUGCCAGCCAGCUUUUGUUUAUGGUGGGUGCUGAACAUUUGGACUGCUUCCAUUCUGAGGAAAUUAUGAAUGACACGAAGUCCUGGCAUCCCCAGCACUGCAUAAACCUGCUGAAGAAGUGUAAGCCUGUAAAUCCCAGGAGGAACAGAAGUUCAAGAGCAUCCUUUGUUACAAAUGGAAUCUGAGGCCAGCCCCAGUUAGAGACUCUGUCUAAAUAAUAACAGUUGGGGCUGGGAAGAUGGCUUAGUGGUUAGGAGCACUGGCUGCUCUCCCAAAGGACCUUGGUUCAAUUCCCAGUACCCACAUGGCAGCUCGAAACUGUAACUCCAGUUCCAGGGGAUCUGACAUCCUCACAUACACAUAUACACCAAUGCACA